rnacentral:rRNA from 1 species
CGACGAAUCUUCCGCAAUGGGCGCAAGCCUGACGGAGCAAUGCCGCGUGUGGGAUGAAGCAUCUUCGAUGUGUAAACCACUGUCAGAUUCUAGGAACACUGACCAGAAUCAGAGGAAGGGCCGGCUAACCUCGUGCCAGCAGCCGCGGUAAUACGAGGGGCCCGAGCGUUAAUCAGAAUCACUGGGCUUAAAGCGUGCGCAGGCGGUCCAGCAAGCGUCUUGUGAAAUCCCUCGGCUCAACCGGGGAAGUGCAGGGCGAACUGCUGGACUUGAAGCAGGUAGGGCUGAUGGAACCAUGAGUGGAGCGGUGAAAUGCGUAGAUAUUCAUGGGAACGCCGAUGGGGAAGCCGAUCAGCUGGGCCUGUCUUGACGCUCAGGCACGAAAGCGUGGGGAGCAGACAGGAUUAGAUACCCUGGUAGUCCACGCCGUAAACGAUGCACACUAGGUCGGGGCAGCUCUGACGCUGUCUCGGCCGAAGGAAAACUAUUAAGUGUGCCGCCUGGGGAGUACGGUCGCAAGGCUA